rnacentral:rRNA from 1 species
GCGAAUUCGCCCUUCCUACGGGAGGCAGCAGUGGGGAAUUUUACGCAAUGGGGGAAACCCUGACGUAGCGACACCGCGUGAGCGAAGAAGCCCUCUGGGGUGUAAAGCUCUGUCAGCAGGGACGAAAAAAAUGACGGUACCUGCAGAGGAAGCAUCGGCUAACUACGUGCCAGCAGCCGCGGUAAGACGUAGGAUGCAAGCGUUGUCCGGAUUCAUUGGGCGUAAAGAGUUCGUAGGCGGUUUGUUAAGUCUGAUGUUAAAGAUCAGGGCCCAACCCUGAGAGUGCAUUGGAUACUGGCAGACUGGAGUGCAGUAGAGGCAAGUGGAAUUCCCAGUGUAGCGGUGAAAUGCGUAGAUAUUGGGAAGAACACCGGUGGCGCAGGCGACUUGCUGGGCUGUAACUGACGCUGAGGAACGAAAGCUAGGGGAGUGAAUGGGAUUAGAUACCCCAGUAGUCCUGGCCGUAAACGAUGGAUACUAGGCGUAUCGGGUAUCGACCCCUGAUGUGCCGCAGCUAACGCGAUAAGUAUCCCGCCUGAGUAGUACGGCCGCAAGGUUGAAACUCAAAGGAAUUGACGG